AACGGUCUAUACCUGCGGUACCUGCGGAAGGAUCAUUAGUGAAUGAACUUGGUGAAGUUGUUGCUGGUCUUCAAGACAUGUGCACGCUUGGCUUUUGUUUCUAACCACCUGUGCACCUUUUGUAGACUUGGAGUUUUUGAAACAUUUUGUUUCGUGUGGGGAAUUGCGUUAGCUUUCCUUAUCCCUCCAGUCUAUGUUUUUAUUAUACCCUUUUGAAUGUAAAGAACGUGUAUUGGGCUU
rnacentral:misc_RNA from 1 species